UUGUAAUUUGGAGAAGGUGUUUCGGAAGAGAUGAUGGUUCAAGUCCCUUGGAACAGGGCGUCGCAGAGGGUGAGAAUCCCGUAUGUGACCAAUCAUCGAUUCCAUGUGAAACUCUUUCGACGAGUCGAGUUGUUUGGGAAUGCAGCUCUAAAUGGGUGGUAAAUUUCAUCUAAAGCUAAAUACCUGCCAGAGACCGAUAGCGCACAAGUAGAGUGAUCGAAAGAUGAAAAGCACUUUGAAAAGAGAGUCAAACAGUACGUGAAAUUGUUGAAAGGGAAGCGCUUGCAAUCAGACUCGUUUGCAGAAGCUCAGCCCUCCUUCGGGAUGGUGUAUUCUUCUGUCAAUGGGCCAGCAUCAGUUUCGGCGGUUGGAUAAAGACUCUGAGAACGUAGCUCUCCUCGGAGAGUGUUAUAGCUCGGAGUGUAAUGCAGCAGCUGAGACUGAGGUCCGCGCUUCUGCUAGGAUGCUGGCGUAAUGGUUGCU
rnacentral:rRNA from 1 species